rnacentral:rRNA from 1 species
UACGUAGGUGGCAAGCGUUACUCGGAAUUACUAGGCGUAAAGCGCAGGUAGGCGGUCUGACAAGUUUCUUGUGAAAGCUCCCGGCUCAACUGGGAGAGGCCAAGGAAAACUGUCAGGCUAGAGUGUGGCAGAGGAAGCUAGAAUUCCUGGUGUAGCGGUGAAAUGCGUAGAUAUCAGGAGGAAUACCUAUGGCGAAAGCAGGCUUCUGGGAUAUCACUGACGCUGAUCUGCGAAAGCUAGGGGAGCAAACAGG